AAAGUCGUAACAAGGUUUCUGUAGGUGAACCUGCAGAAGGAUCAUUAAAACGUAUCCACGUAUCAAACCCCUCUGUGCAACUCUAAAUAACGUGAGGCUGGUCUUAGUACACUCGUUCGCAUAGAUCUUAAUGAUGGGAGGACCUAUUUCGGGAGGGACUCGGGAUCUGAGCGAGUGUGCGUUUGACGAUUGGCCGCUAUUUUCCCAUUGUUAGGACAACCACAUUUUUAACCCCUUUGUACUCUUUUGUACUGAACCAAAACUUCUCGAGUUUACUCUCUAAAACGAGUGAGCACGAAAAGAUAUUACGAAACUAAAAGAACAACUCUUAGCAACGGAUAUCUUGGUUCCC
rnacentral:misc_RNA from 1 species